GUCUAUGAAGGGCUGGCAGUGGGGAUACCGGGUGAACCGAGUCCACUGCAGGUGGCAGUCAAAACCCUCCCUGAGGUUUGCUCUGAGCAAGACGAAUUGGACUUCCUCAUGGAGGCUCUAAUAAUCAGUAAGUUCAGCCACCAGAAC